rnacentral:rRNA from 1 species
CACUGUGGAAUUCGCCCUUGCGCUACCUGGUUGAUCCUGCCAGUAGUCAUAUGCUUGUUUUAAAGAUUAAGCCAUGCAUGUCUAAGUUAGAAGCAACUUACGCUAAAACUGCGAAUAGCUCAUUAAAACAAUUUCAAUCUGGACGAUAAUGAUAUACGGAUAUCUCCGGUAAUUCUGGGGCUAAGACGCGUUAUAAGUGAGAUCCUCCUGGAUCAUUCUUGUCAUAGGAAAGGAUAUCUAUUCACCUGAACUUUUUGACAAAUCAGUCGCCGAAAGGCGAUGUGACGUGCGAUAUUUUGACCUAUCAGCUAUCGUUAGAAGGGUAGUGUCCUUUUAAGGCUGUGACGGGUAACGGGGAAUUAGGGUUUGAUUCCGGAGAGGGAGCCUUAGAGACAGCUACCACAUCUAAGGAUGGCAGCAGGCGCGCAAAUUACCCAAUCCCGAUACGGGGAGGUAGUGACAGAAAAUAUCAACACUUGAUUUUCAAGUGAUUGAAAUGAGUGGACAUUAGAAAAAUGUGCGAGUAUCAAUUGGAGGGCAAGUCUGGUGCCAGCAGCCGCGGUAAUUCCAGCUCCAAUAGCACAUACUAAUAUUGUUGCAGUUGAAGCGUUCGUAGUUUGAUGUGCAACUUCUCACACGAGACUAGUCGUCACGGGUGAGAUGUUGAGGCCUACACGGCAUCAGUUACUUUGAGAAAAUUGUUUUGUUCACCUUUGGGUUGAGCCGAAGCACAGCAGCAUGGAAUAACGACAAAUAACAGUCGACAAAUAAGAAUAUCCUCUUGUCGACAGUGAUGAUGGAAAGGGGCGUACGGGGACAUUCGUACUUGCUAGAGAGAGGUGAAAUUCUGAGACCUGGCAAAGACGAGCAAAUGCAAAAGCAUCUGUCCAGUGCUCACCUGUUGAUCAAGGACGAAAGUUGGGGGAUCGAAGACGAUUAGAUACCGUCGUAGUCCCAACCAUAAACUAUGCCGACUAAACAUUGGCGUCACGAAAGGAGUGACUUCAGUGUUCAACGAGAAAUCUAAAGUAUCUGGGCCCUGGGGGGAGUAUGGUCGCAGGGCUGAAACUUAAAGGAAUUGACGGAAGGGCACCACCAGGAGUGGAGCCUGCGGCUUAAUUUGAGUCAACACGGGAAAACUCACCAGGACCGGACAUAAGCAUGAUUGACAGAAUGAAAGGGCUUUCUUGAUUUUAUGGGUGGUGGUGCAUGGCCGUUCUUAGUCGGUGAGGUGACUUGUCUGGUUAAUUCCGUUAACGGACGAGACCUUGACCUGCUUGUUUGUAUUCGAGAUCUUCUCGGAAUACAUGUAGAGGGACUACAGAAGUCUAUUCUGUGGAAGUUCGAGGCUAUAACAGGUCUGUGAUGCCCUUAGAUGCUCUGGGCUGCACGUGUGCUACAAUAGUGGAAUCUUUGAGACACGACCUCACGAGAGGGAGUAUAUCUCGAAAAUCUGCUGUGUCUGGGAUUGACCAUUGCAAUUUUGGGUCAUGAACGUGGAAUUCCUAGUAAAGAUGAAUCAUUACUUCAUCUUGAUUACGUCCCUGCCCUCUGUACACACCGCCCGUCGCUUCAACCGAUUGAAUGAUCCGGCGAAUUCCAUGGACGUGACAAAUGGAUUAUUGUCCUGCUGUCCUGAAAAUGGCGCGAGCCUUGUCAUUUAGAGGAUGAAGAAGUCGUAACACGGUAUCCGUAGGUGAACCUGCAGAAGGAUCAAGGGCG